AGUCAUAUGCCUGUCUCAAAGACUAAGCCAUGCAUGUCUAAGUAUAAAUGAUAUACAGUAAAACUGCGAAUGGCUCAUUAAAACAGUUAUAGUUUAUUUGGUAAUCGAAUUUACAUGGAUAACCGUGGUAAUUCUAGAGCUAAUACAUGCUGUAAAGCCCGACUUCUCGGAAGGGCCGUGUUUAUUAGAUAACAGACCAACAGCUUCGGCUAUUGUGGUGAAUCAUAGUAACUAAUCGGAUCGCAUGGGCUAGUCCCGCGACAAAUCAUUCAAGUUUCUGCCCUAUCAGCUUUCGAUGGUAGGGUAUUGGCCUACCAUGGCGUUAACGGGUAACGGAGAAUUAGGGUUCGAUUCCGGAGAGGGAGCCUGAGAAACGGCUACCACAUCUAAGGAAGGCAGCAGGCGCGUAAAUUACCCAAUCCUGACUCAGGGAGGUAGUGACAAGAAAUAACGGACCGAGGCCUUCGGGCUUCGGGAUUGCAAUGAGCCGAAUUUACACCCCUUAGCGAGGAUCAAU
rnacentral:rRNA from 1 species